rnacentral:rRNA from 1 species
GUCGAACGGGGCUAAGCGAAACACGGAGUGUUUAGCGAAGGACAGAGGGGGAGACGAUUUUACUGGAAAUGCGAAGCAUUUGAAGUAAAGAGAGACAAAACCCAAAGUAAAAGAGCAAAGCGAAACACCGCGUGUUUUGCUUAGCCUAGUGGCGGACGGGUGAGUAACGCGUGGGUAACCAACCGUAUAGAGGGGGAUAACGAAUAGAAAUAUUCGCUAAUACCGCAUAGUCUUGAUUGUUCGCAUGGACGAUUAAGUAAAGAUUUAUCGCUAUACGACGGACCCGCGUCUGAUUAGCUAGUUGGAGAGGUAACGGCUCACCAAGGCGACGAUCAGUAGCCGACCUGAGAGGGUGAUCGGCCACAUUGGGACUGAGACACGGCCCAAACUCCUACGGGAGGCAGCAGUGGGGAAUAUUGCACAAUGGGGGAAACCCUGAUGCAGCAACGCCGCGUGAAGGAAGAAGUAUUUCGGUACGUAAACUUCAGACGCUGAUGAAGAAAAAAAUGACGGUAAUCAGGCCGGAGCCCCGGCUAACUACGUGCCAGCAGCCGCGGUAAUACGUAGGGGGCAAGCGUUAUCCGGAAUUACUGGGCGUAAAGGGUGCGUAGGCGGCCAAGUAAGUCAUAUGUGAAAGCCCAAGGCUCAACCAUGGGACUGCAUAAGAAACUACUUGGCUAGAGUACUGGAGAGGUAAGCGGAAUUCCUAGUGUAGCGGUGAAAUGCGUAGAUAUUAGGAAGAACACCAGUGGCGAAGGCGGCUUACUGGACAGAGACUGACGCUGAGGCACGAAAGCGUGGGGAGCGAACAGGAUUAGAUACCCUGGUAGUCCACGCUGUAAACGAUGAGAACUAGGUGUUGGGGCGAGAGCCUCGGUGCCGCAGUUAACACAAUAAGUUCUCCGCCUGGGGAGUACGUUCGCAAGAAUGAAACUCAAAGGAAUUGACGGGGGCCCGCACAAGUGGUGGAGCAUGUGGUUUAAUUCGAAGCAACGCGAAGAACCUUACCAAGAAUUGACAUCCUCCUUUAAUGAUGUGAAAGCAUCAAAGCCUUCGGGCGAGGAGAGACAGGUGGUGCAUGGUUGUCGUCAGCUCGUGUCGUGAGAUGUUGGGUUAAGUCCCGCAACGAGCGCAACCCUUAUUGUUAGUAACCAGCGAGUAAUGUCGGGGACACUAGCGAGACUGCCGUGGAUAACACGGAGGAAGGUGGGGACGACGUCAAAUCAUCAUGCCCCUUAUAACUUGGGCAACACACGUGCUACAAUGGGAUGUACAAAGUGAAACAAGCUGGUGACAGUAAGCAAACCACAAAAAGCAUUCCUCAGUUCGGAUUGUAGUCUGCAACUCGACUACAUGAAGCCGGAAUCACUAGUAAUCGCGAAUCAGCAUGUCGCGGUGAAUACGUUCUCGGGCCUUGUACACACCGCCCGUCACACCAUGGGAAUUAGAAGCGCCCGAAGUAUGUGACCGAACCCGUAAGGGACGGAGCAUCCUAAGGCGAAGCUAGUGACUGGGG